GCGCUUUCCUAGGCGCAGGUGGUGGUGGAUGACCUGGUUCAAAUGUGCAGAUCUGGUUAGGAUCCAGUAAGACCCAGAAGGAAGCAGCGGGGGCAGGGACUGUGCUCAUCUUUGUUGCUCCUGGCUGUGACUUUUUUUCUCCAGGACUUUGGCCUUGCUGCUGCUCUUCAGGAAUAAUCCAGGCUGGAGAAGAUGGGGUCUCAGCAUCUGAUGUCCUGUCUCCAGGGCUUGAUGACUUUCCUUGAUGUGGCCAUGAGCUUCUCCCUGGAGGAGUGGCUGUACCUGGAUGUCUCUCAGAGGAAGCUCUACAGAGAUGUGAUGCUAGAGACCUACGAGCAUCCAUCUACAGGCAGUAGCCAGAAAUCCAUCUUUGUUCCUUCUGCUCUCUCACCUUAUUCAGUCAGAACUUCCUCAGUAAUCACAUGAAAUGAAGUCAUCCCUCUUGGGUUCUCCUGGGAACAUCUGCAAGAAAGCAUCCUCAAUCAGAGAAUUCCUAUCCACGUAAUGAGAAUGAAUGGCAGCAGCAUUCUGAUCCAUAUAACGGCAAACCAAAGAAUGACAUAUUUGAAAAUCAAAAGCACAAAGAAAGCUCCAUACAUUUGGCUAAUAGGAAGAGGCAUCAAAGAAUUUCAACAGCC